rnacentral:misc_RNA from 1 species
CUGUUGGAUCGAGUAAAUAACAAUUGAUGAAAAAUAUUAACAGGAAGUUGAAGGGGAAAAAAUGAGUCACAGAAAGAGUAUUCUGUUUAUUAUGAUGGAAAUGUCCUUACAAUGAUGGAAAUAUUGAAAUGGGUCUGGUGUCAGACCAAGUUAUUCAGUAAUGGCAUGUCCAGUUUUCCUUGAUAAAAAGCACUCAUUUAAAAAAGAGGCAAGCUUGGUGGAAAACGCACGUGCAUCCACUGUCUCUCGUAGGUUGCCAAAUGACUCCAUCCAAUCUCAUCAAGCAAGGAGAUCUUCAGUUCGUAAAGCUUCUUCUUUGGAGGAUCCCCGUCAUCUUGAAUCAUGUCAUUCAACACCUUUAGAGCUGUUCCAAGCCUCCCUCGUCGUCUUUCACGUAUCACUAAGAGGGUGCCAUAUUUAGAAGACUUCACGUCAACCCAUUUUUGAAAUUCUUUGAAAUUCUCCUCGAACAGAUCUGGCUGGCCACCAGCAUCUGGUGCCGAUUCUUUGUCAGUCCUGUCCAUGUCUUUUGUUCCUUCUGUUACUGCCAAGGUUCCAGCUUUCAGUCCC